UGAGGAGCAUUCCGAUGACGAUUGCAAAGAUAGCAUUGCAAAGAAAAAGGAAUCCGGUGAGAAUCCGGAGCAGGCUUACCCCUACUGUGAGGCAGACGAGGGCGGCAGGGAUGCGUUCCAUCCCGGUCACUGGAAGAGAUUCCGGGAAGACGCCGUCCCAAGGAAGAAGCCGAGCCAGGAUACUUUUAACAUUUCUUCGGAAGUU
rnacentral:ncRNA from 2 species